rnacentral:tRNA from 1 species
GGAGGGCUGGCCGAGUGGUCUAAGGCGGUUGAUUUGAAAUCAAUUGUGGGCACCCCCACCGCAGGUUCGAAUCCUGCGCUCUCCGCCA